GGUGAGGUGGCGGAGUGGUCGAACGUGGCGGUCUUGAAAACCGUUGUAGCGAGAGCUACCGUGGGUUCGAAUCCCACCCUCACCG
rnacentral:tRNA from 1 species